rnacentral:rRNA from 1 species
GUGAACGCUGGCGGUAGGCCUAACACAUGCAAGUCGAACGGCAGCACAGUAAGCGCUUGCUCUUACGGGUGGCGAGUGGCGGACGGGUGAGGAAUACAUCGGAAUCUACUUUUUCGUGGGGGAUAACGUAGGGAAACUUACGCUAAUACCGCAUACGACCUACGGGUGAAAGCAGGGGAUCUUCGGACCUUGCGCGAUUGAAUGAGCCGAUGUCGGAUUAGCUAGUUGGCGGGGUAAAGGCCCACCAAGGCGACGAACCGUAGCUGGUAUGAGAGGGUGAAUCGGCAAAAUGGAAAGUAGAAACGGGCCCGACUCCCAAGGGAGGCAGGCGUGGGGAAUUUUUGAAAAAGGGCCGAAGGCCUAAUCCGGCCAACCGGCGGGGUGAAGAAGGGCUUUGGGUUUGAAAGCCCUUUUGUUGGGAAAGAAAAGCAGCAGGUUAAUACCCCGCUGUUCUGACGGUACCCAAAGAAUAAGCACCGGCUAACUUCGUG